rnacentral:rRNA from 1 species
AGAGUUUGAUCAUGGCUCAGGACGAACGCUGGCGGCGUGGAUUAGGCAUGCAAGUCGAACGGUAUGGACCUUUCGGGGUUCAGAGAGUGGCGAACGGGUGAGUAACACGUAGGUUAUCUACCCUCAAAACGGGGACAACCCAGGGAAACUUGGGCUAAUACCGGAUGUGUGCAGAGCUUGUUUUUGCUGUUUGAGAUAAUCACGGAAGUGGUUAUUGAGGGCAAGUGAGAGCGGGUUUUGCAUAAAAGGUGGCGUAAGCUGCCGUUUGAGGAUGAGCCUGCGUCCUAUUAGUUAGUUGGUGAGGUAAUGGCCUACCAAGGCGAUGAUAGGUAGGCGGCCUUAACGGGUGGUCGCCCACACUGGGAUUGAGAUACGGCCCAGACUCCUACGGGAGGCAGCGGUCGAGAAUAGUCUACAAUGGACAAAAGUCUGAUAGUGCGACGCCGCGUGAACGAAGAAGCCCUUCGGGGUGUAAAGUUCUUUUAUAUGUGAGUAGUGCCCUUUAUAUGAAUAGUAUAAAGGGAGGGAAUUAAGCAUAAGAAUAAGCAACGGCUAACUCCGUGCCAGCAGCCGCGGUAACACGGGGGUUGCAAGCGUUGUCCGGAAUUACUAGGCGUAAAGUGCAGGUAGGCGGAUAGAUAAGUUUAAGGUUAAAGGCUACGGCUUACCCGUAGUAAGGCAUUAGAUACUGUUUAUCUGGAAUGCGGUUGAGGGAGACAGAAUUCCUGGUGUAGCGGUGGAAUGCGCAGAGAUCAGGAGGAAUACCGAAGGCGAAGGCAGUCUUCUAAGCCGAAAUUGACGCUAAACUGCGAAGGUGUGGGGAUCAAACAGGAUUAGAUACCCUGGUAGUCCACACAGUAAACGAUAAUCACUAGGUGUUGGGUUCUUAAGAGGACUCGGUGCCGGAGCUAACGCGAUAAGUGAUUCGCCUGGGGAGUACGAUCGCAAGGUUGAAACUUAAAGGAAUUGACGG